CAGUCCUACGGGGGGCAGCAGUGGGGAAUAUUGGGCAAUGGGCGCAAGCCUGACCCAGCAACGCCGCGUGAAGGAAGAAGGCUUUCGGGUUGUAAACUUCUUUUAUCAGGGACGAAGCAGGUGACGGUACCUGAUGAAUAAGCCACGGCUAACUACGUGCCAGCAGCCGCGGUAAUACGUAGGUGGCAAGCGUUAUCCGGAUUUACUGGGUGUAAAGGGCGUGUAGGCGGGGGUGCAAGUCAGAUGCGAAAACUAUGGGCUCAACCCAUAGCCUGCCUUUGAAACUGUACUUCUUGAGUGCUGGG
rnacentral:rRNA from 1 species